GCAGAGUAUACCGCAGACAUCAUUUCUACUACAGUGGCGGAGCCGUACAGGACCUGUUUCACUGCAGGGGGAUCCAAAACAAGCCCUGUGGAGCCGCAGCUAGAGCCACAGCAGCCGCAGGACACUGUUUCUCUCCCUCUGUCCCCCUUCCCCACGCAACCCCAGAUCCAUUUACACUUUACAAAGCAUCCUGCAUCCUGCAACAGGUCACCAGGGCAGUCUCUCCAAGCUGCAGAUCUGUCUGUCAUCUGUGUCCAACCGCCUCUUCCUCCAUCCCCUCGGCAGGGAAGAGUAUCACAUUCAGUCCAGCCGUUACUCGCUGUUACCUCCACAGGAAGGCUCCACUUGAAGGUCCCUUUGACUUCUCUGCAAGACAUCCGAAUGUCUGUACACUCUGAGAAUGAGGGUAAGAAGGGGGAAAGAGAUGGAGGGCGCCAUUUUUAACCCUGCUGCAGCUGAUAACAACCUCUUGAGACCGGGUACUUUGUGGAAGGGCUGGGUGUUGAGAGAGGUCGUUACUGUCCUGCAGAAGUCUCUGCCCCAGGGUUUCUCGGGACUGUGAGACGUUGGGAUUGAUGAGAG
rnacentral:lncRNA from 1 species